UCUGUCUGUUUCUCUUCAGAUCGUAUAAAUCUUUUGCCUUUUACUAAAAAUUUUUGUAGAAAGGAACAAUUCGGAGUCUUAAACCAAUUUUUCGAGGCCUUGUCUUGACAAGGCU